UUUUUUAGUCUUCCUCAUCCGAGAUAUUCGUCAGCUGGGAUUCGUUUACCGAUGUAGAGGAGUAUAGAAAAACUGUGCAUUCGUCAGGCAUAAAAGAAUAUGAACUUGGAAUAGGAUCUACAAUGGGAGGAACAGACAUAUAUUCAUAUACAAAAGUUGGACUUGUAAAUCAUUACACAGUACAUGGUUUGCGAUUACAAAAUGGACAUGAAUACUAUGCAACUAUAAGAGCGUUGGAUUUUGCAAAACGAAGUGCCACAGCAAAUUCACAUCCAGUAAAGAUUGAUGGCACACCACCAGAAAAAUCUGAUCGGCCAAUAACUAUAGAAGGACGUCAUUUAUCAGAUAUCAGUGAAAUAAAUGCAUGGUUUGUAUACAUGUUUAAUAUAUUAAUUAAUGAACGUUUUUCCUCGACCAAACUGCGGCUGAACGUCGAUGAUAUAGCGAUUCAUAAACUAAAAGGGAGCAAAAAUUCGCUAACAAUUAAAAAGUGUGUACACCAUGUUUCCAAAAAUGAAUCAAGAAUAAAUAACAGAUUCACUGUCAAAGAUUUGCCAUAAUCAGCAAUGACCCUUGAAGGACAA